rnacentral:rRNA from 1 species
CAUUAAAGAGUUCUAUAACUCCCAAACCCAUGUGAACAUACCUAACGUUGCCUCGGCAGGUCGCACCUACCUUGUAGCACCCUACCCUGUAGGGCCUACCCGGGAGGUGCGGGUAAGCCUGCCGGCGGCCCACCAAACUCUGUUUGAUAUUGAAUUCUGAACCUAUAACUAAAUAAGUUAAAACUUUCAACAACGGAUCUCUUGGUUCUGGCAUCGAUGAAGAACGCAGCGAAAUGCGAUAAGUAAUGUGAAUUGCAGAAUUCAGUGAAUCAUCGAAUCUUUGAACGCAUAUUGCGCCCAUUAGUAUUCUAGUGGGCAGGACCGUUCGAGCGUCAUUUCAACCCUUAAGCCUUCGUUGCUUAGUGUUGGGAGCCUACGGCAACGUAGCUCCUCAAAGUUAGUGGCGGAGUUGGUUCACACUCUAGACGUAGUAAUUUUUUAUCUCGCCUAUUAGUUGGACUAAUCCCCUGCCGUAAAACCCCUAAUUUAUCAAGGUUGACCUCGAAUCGGUUCAGACAAACUCGCUAAAUUGAAGCAUCUUAGUCAGCGAAGGAAAAGAAACCAACAGGGAUUGCCCUAGUAACGGCGAGUGAAGCGGCAACAGCUCAAAU